UGAACAGCAGCUGUGGAGCUGGCGUGGAGCACCGCACAUUUCCACGGUCGUUUCACUCUUUGUACAACUGAACGUGAGUGUGGAAAAGGGCGUACACCACGUUUUUGGGAAUGCACACCCUUUGUACAUGAGGCCCUUGGAGCUUCUGUUCUGCUCUGCAGCCUCUUCUUUUCCUCCAGAAUUCCACUGGAAUCUCCGGUUUCUCCACAUGGAGGAGAGUGGGCUGCGCAGGACCAACAGCUAAUCUCUGGUGUAAACAAUGACUACCAUGAUUGAAGCUGGAGGGGUCCCCAAUACAAGUCAAAAAGGUUCAUAAAACAGUAAAAGGUAACACACAAAAGUAGUAAAAGUGGUCUCAUUGUGUGCAAAAUUGCCGUAGGAUUUGCCCCCAAUAAAGAAAAAACACAAAAUGCCAAAAAUGAAUAGAAAAAACUAAAAAGAAGAGAAAAGAGGGGAGAGCUGCCAUAACCUGCAGCUGCUCGUGUUGCAAAAUCUUGGUGAUUUGCACUCUGCCAUUGUCCUAGGGAUGCGACUCAGCA